rnacentral:rRNA from 1 species
AGAGCGAACGCUGGCGGCAGGCCUAACACAUGCAAGUCGAGCGCCCCGCAAGGGGAGCGGCAGACGGGAGAGUAACACGUGGGAACGUACCCUUUGGUUCGGAACAACACAGGGAAACUUGUGCUAAUACCGGAUAAGCCCUUACGGGGAAAGAUUUAUUGCCAAAGGAUCGGCCCGCGUCUGAUUAGCUUGUUGGUGAGGUAACGGCUCACCAAGGCUACGAUCAGUAGCUGGUCUGAGAGGAUGAUCAGCCUCACUGGGACUGAGACACGGCCCAGACUCCUACGGGAGGCAGCAGUGGGGAAUAUUGGACAAUGGGCGCAAGCCUGAUCCAGCCAUGCCGCGUGGAUGAUGAAGGCCCUAGGGUUGUAAAGUCCUUUCGACGGGGAAGAUAAUGACGGUACCGUAGAAGAAGCCCCGGCUAACUUCGCGCCAGCCAGCCGC